AUUUUUGGAAUCUAUGGUCAAUAAACUUAAUUUAUAGGAAAUUAUACCUUAUUCCUGAGUUAUAAAGCAGAAAUUAUAAAAAUUUUAGACUAAUAAUAAAGGUAGGAUAAUCACAGAAUGGCAUAUCUGCAUAUGUCAACGAUUAGC